UGUACAGCUUUGGGGCUGACCGCAGUAUGGUGUCAUUGCUUUGAGAAAUCACGCAUCACGUUGCGCCUCCCACCUGUUCUCACUCAGUCAAGCCUGGAAAUGGGGUACAGAAACCAUUCCUCUUUUCUGGCUGUUGGGUCUGCGGGGAGGACCAGGGGGUGCUUGAGCAUGUUUGCCAUGGGGAGCCCCCAGGAUGCAAUGCAAAGAGCUCCCUUGAGAUCACGGAAGCUAAAAGCACUCAGAUCCAGCACUCUCGUGGGAAACAUAAGCACAGACGUGUGGGGAGGGGGCAGUGGAGAAGCAUUCCCAGGGCUGCGUACAGGACAGUGGUGAAAUUACAGCCACAAACUUCACCUUGACACCUACUAUAACAAGAUCCUUCCCCUCCCUUGCUAUGCAUUUGUAAGAGAUCUGGUUUUACUGGAUUGUUUUUUAAGACACAGGCUGGCGAAGAGGAAUGAAGAAUCUGCCCAAAGCCAAUGCAAAUGUUGAGAUGAGGGGCGGGGAAAUGGGGACCCAGAAGGGAGAACCAGGCCAGCUGUCUGGCAGAGGCAGGGCUAGCAGGGCUCCUUGGCUGUCACCUUGCUGGGAACAUCUCGUGUGCUUGCUAAUCCUGUUCAUUUUGUUUGUAACCUUUACUCUCCUCCCAUUGUAAGGGGGCGGGUAGGCUUGUUGCUCCUGCUCUCCCAUUUCGUUUCGCAACCACUUCCACUUUCUGUGCAAGUGGCUGCUGGUGGUGGAGAUGCAGCUGCAGUUUCUCUCCCCUUUGGCCGUUCUCUGGGAGAAUGUGUCCUUCCGGACCUUCGCGGCGUUCACGGUUGUGGGGCUGCUGAUCGCUGAUUGUAUGAAGAGGAGCCGUCCAGCAAAUUUCCCUCCAGGACCACUGCCCCUUCCAUUCCUGGGUCACAUAUUCCAUCUGGACUUCAAGCAGCCUCAUCUCUCCAUGAAGAAGGUCAGAGGUGACAGGAGAGGGAUUUGUUUUCAAAAGUAAUAGGCAACAGGGUGUGGUGAGCCACAAAGUCUUGCAGCAGGCGGUGAAGCGUUCCUGGUCCAGCUCUUGAGAAAACCAGCUUGCUGAAAAAUAUGGCAACAUUUUCAGCCUGCAGCUUGGUUACAAGAUGCUUGUGACUGUGAAUGGGUUGCAGCUGGUGAAGGAAGCACUUGUUCAUCAGGGUGAAAACUUUGCAGAUUGUCCCCAGAUCCCCAUUAUGUUGGAGGUCCGCGGUAGCUUGGGACUCGUCUCUGCUAAUGGGUAUAGCUGGAAAUAACAGAGACGAUUUGCCCUAUCAACUCUGAGAAACUUUGGCCUGGGGAAGAGAAGCUUAGAGGAGCGCAUACAACAGGAGAUCGGGUACUUCAUUGAGGCAGUUGAGGAAGAGAAAGGGAAUCCUUUUGAUCCCCACUUUAAAAUUAACAACGCCGUUUCCAACGUUAUACGUUCCAUCACUUUUGGCAGCCGGUUUGAGUAUCACAACAGGCACGUCCAGAAGCUGCUGCAGUUGGUGGGUGAGACGCUGUACCUCCAUGGAACUGUUUGGACCCAGGUAUAACUUGGAAAUCAACUGAAAUCAACCCUAACACUUCUUGGGAUGGUUACAGUGGAGGCAGACUUGAGUAGGUCAGCACCGUUCUUGUUCCUUGAUUCAUUUCUGCUUUGGCCAGAUCAAGGUGUUCAGAUGCUCUUUCUCCUCGGUACUUCUCUGCAUUCUCAAGAUCCCCCCUUUAUGCUCCUUCUCCACCACGGGAUCCUAUCUGACCUCCAGUUUUAUAUUUGGGAUGCGUCACCCUCAAUUGCAGACACCUCAACCUCUCUUCCUUCACCUGUGGCUGAAUGGCCAGCCUGUGCUUGACUCCGGCUGAUCCACCCCACACAGCAAGUAGGACAGCUCCCAGUCGUCCCAGCAGCGAUGCUGCCUAUAGUGUCCUGUUGCUGGGAGAGGAAAGAAAGGCUAGUGGUUAGUGUGGGGUUGUGCAGAUGCCCCAUGUGAACUGUGACACUUCCUUCAGCUGCCCGGGCUCUUGUUAGAAGAGUACCUGUAGGCAGCCUGCGGUUGCAUUAUAUUGUCUGCCUCUCCCAGCCAGAUACCAAAAGUACAGCAGCCUCAGCUGGGACAAGACAGUAUCGUGCCAUACUGUCAGUGUGGGAUCAUGCAUAGUUUCAUAGUAGUUUCAUAGGAGCUAGGGUCAGGAGGGACCUGAACAGAUCAUCGAUCCUGACCCCCUGCCACAGGCAGGAAUGAAUGCUGGGUUCACAAGACUCCAGACAGGUGAUCGUCCAACCUCCUGUUGAAUUUGCCCAAGGUAGGGGCGAGGACCACUUCCCUGGGAAGCUGGUUCCAGAUUUUGGCCACCCUAACUGUAAAAUAUUGCCUUCUGAUCUCUAACCUAAAGCUAUUCUCCAUCAGCUUGUUACCAUUGUUCCUCAUCACCCCAGGUGGUGCUGGGGAGAAAAGGGCUUUGCCUAUUUACUGUUGAUCUCCCCUGAUGAGCUUGUAGGCAGCCACCAGGUCCCCCCUCCCUCUGAAGAAGAAAAUCUUUCAUGCAAAGAAACCUCCAGUGGGCAUAUGUGAGGCUAGAAUAUAGAGAAGAGGACAUUCAGGAGUUGCUAUAAUUUAAAUGAAGACAGAAGGUGCUAUAAGUCAGGGAGGCAGGGGUGGGGAUCGAGUAUUAUAGCCAUGAUAAUCCAGGGAAUGUACAAGACACAAAGGGGUUUUGGACGGUCUUCUAUUGGGCAAGCUGAAUAACUGAGAGAUUGGUUAGACAAGCUUUUGGGCACAUAAAAGUACCUUUCUGCAGGUCUUCAGGGUAGUUUGUACUGAAAAGCUUGUGUAACAUCUCUCCCAACUAUACAUUUGGUCCAAUAAAAGAUAGCACAAAAAAACUCUCACGUCUCAGUGUAAUAUUUGGCUUUGCUUCUGAUAAUGUUGAUUAUCUUCUUUGAAUUAACUCUGUGGAAAAACCAGGCCCAUAAAUCACAUCUUUCAAUAGUUCAGACACUAGAAAAAGACAAAGACCAAUACUGUUACUAGCAUAAUACUGCUGUUGGUAGUGACAGUGGUCAGACUCUAAAUGUAAGCGUUCAGUUCAUUUACUCAAAGAUGUUGCACAGGGAAGGGCAGUUCAGGGUUCAUUCACAUAGCCUUACCACUCUGCUUUGAUUGUGUCUAGAAGCAGCUACCUGUAAUUAAAAACUCCUUUAAGACUAUCAACUCAUUUGAUGAGGAGCACUCCGAACAUCAUGGUAGCAUUGUUUAUAAAUGAAGGCAUUCACCAAGGUUUUAAAGGACAUUGCCAUAUGAAUAUUCUUGGAGUAGACCAUAACUCUCCAUUUUCAAUCAUUUCAUCCUGUUAGGACUGCUAUUGUUCAUCAGCUGCCCUUUCUCUCCCUUUCAGGAAAGGUGGCUGGAACAGAGAUCUUCAUUUUCUUCACUGUUCCAACUCAGAAAUUCACAUCCCAAGCUCUGGACAACGUAAAAUUAUCUUCUGAAUUCACAACCACCCAUUCUGGCUUUCUGAUAUUUCUCACUUUCAAGGAUCAGGAAGAUUUUAUUGCUUUCUUCCCUUUUGCAUUUAACUCUUGCUUUGCAAUCAGAAAAGCUCCCAUUCCCUUUCCCAACACAAUCUUAAUUUUUAAAACUUUUUUCCUAGUAUUUUAUGCUGGGAGUUUCCUAGCAACCAAUGUGUGGAUUAUAAGAAACCUUUGCUCUUGUGGUCAGCCUUGGAAGCAGUACUGGGAAUAUCUCCCAUCUCAGAGUGCCCAUUAGUGGGAGGAGCCUGCUCCCCACUUCCCCCUGGCCCCUGAUAAGAAGUAGCUUUUAUUUGGUGCUGCUGACCUCAAAUGUACAAGAUAGCAGGAAUUGCAAGCUUUGUAUUAGGGCUGAGCAAAGUAUAGUCUAUGGGUGAAUCUCCCAAUCGGCACUGAUUCUCCGAAUCCAAAUCAGCCGAAUCGAAUCGGGACAGUGAUUCGAAUCCCCAAAUAGAAUCACUGUCCCUCCAAAUCAGCUGAAUCCAAAUCUGAAGUGAAUACUUGCUGCUUCGCAUGUGCUUACUUUGUAUGCUAUACAACUGGCUUGUCCAACGUAAGGCCCGCGGGCCGCCAUGCGACCCACCAAGCCGUUUUCUGAGGCCCAAGGUGCUGCAAUGGUAAAUGAAAGUAAACACUGUUUGCUUUCAUUCCCACCCCUUUUCCUGCCCCCAGCCCCUCAGCAGGUGACCGGCGAGCAUGGACUACGAGACA